CACGUAGGGCGCAAGCGUUGUCCGGAAUUAUUGGGCGUAAAGAGCUCGUAGGCGGUCUGUUGCGUCCGCUGUGAAAACUCGGGGCUUAACCCCGAGCCUGCAGUGGAUACGGGCAGACUAGAGGUAGGUAGGGGAGAAUGGAAUUCCUGGUGUAGCGGUGGAAUGCGCAGAUAUCAGGAGGAACACCGAUGGCGAAGGCAGCUCGCUGGGACGUGACUGACGCUGAGACGCGAAAGCGUGGGGAGCAAACAGG
rnacentral:rRNA from 1 species